rnacentral:rRNA from 1 species
CUUCGGGGGGAGCAAGCGUUGUCCGGAAUCACUGGGCGUAAAGGACGCGUAGGCGGGUUGGCAAGUCAGAUGUGAAAUCCUACCGCUUAACUGUAGAACUGCAUUUGAAACUGCUAACCUAGAGUAUGGGAGGGGGAGAUGGAAUUAGUGGUGUAGGGGUAAAAUCCGUAGAUAUCACUAGGAAUACCGAAAGCGAAGGCGAUCUCCUGGAACAUAACUGACGCUAAGGCGUGAAAGCGUGGGGAGCAAACAGGAUUAGAAACCCUAGUAGUCC